AUCUGCUUAUAUUUGUCAUGUUGAACUAGUUGGAGCUUUAAAAUCAUCAACAAAGGUUAUUUUGCAACAAUCCUUAAAGAAAAGUAGAAUGAAGACCAAGGUCUAGAAGAGCUGGAUGUUGGGAGUCCAAUAUUUGGUGCUGGAUCGUGAAAGAGUUUGAUUGAUUCCAGUUCCGGCAGAUCGAUAUUCUGAAUAUAUCUAACCGAGGAUGGACAUCUAUACUUUUUCUUAUUUACUUUUUUUUUAUGUAGAUAUGAGGCAGUGGGGAUAAUUACACUUUGAUAGCUUUAUUUAUUUAUUUAUUUUUGACGAGAACAUUUAUUAUUUCUGGAACUUAUUAGUGUCGUCAAGAACACCAUAAUUAUUUUUGAACAUCUUUACCUUAUAAUAAGAAAUGAAUUCCCUUCUGCAUA